GUAAAUAGACCCGAGGGCCAUAGUUUUCACUAGAGGCGUGUCUUGAGAAAAAUAGCAUACAUGGGUAAAGAAAUAACUGAUGGGCAAUUGAUAGAAAAGCGAAUAAUCAUGACGAUAUCAAAGGCAACGAUCAUGUAUAUAGGCAUCACGUCCACGAUUAGUAGAUUGACAUCUUCCUGCAUCUACUACUAUUACUCCACACAUAGACCACUAUCCAACAUGC
rnacentral:lncRNA from 1 species